rnacentral:rRNA from 1 species
UACGUAGGCAGCAAGCGUUGUUCGGAAUUACUGGGCGUAAAGAGUGUGUAGGUGGUGUCGUAAGUUUGGUGUGAAAUCUCCCGGCUUAACUGGGAGGGUGCGCCGAAGACUGCGAUGCUGGAGUAUGGGAGAGGAACGCGGAAUUCCAGGUGUAGCGGUGAAAUGCGUAGAUAUCUGGAGGAACACCGGUGGCGAAGGCGGCGUUCUGGACUGCUACUGACACUGAGGAACGAAAGCCAGGGGAGCAAACGGG